rnacentral:rRNA from 1 species
UUGAACGCUGGCGGCGUGCCUAACACAUGCAAGUCGAGCGGUAACAGGCGUAGCAAUACGUGCUGACGAGCGGCGGACGGGUGAGUAACGCUUAGGAAUCUACCUAGUAGUGGGGAACAACCCGGGGAAACUCGGGCUAAUACCGCAUACGCCCUUCGGGGGAAAGCGGGGAUCGCAAGACCUCGCGCUAUUGGAUGAGCCUAAGUCGGAUUAGCUAGUUGGUAGGGUAACGGCCUACCAAGGCGACAAUCCGUAGCUGGUCUGAGAGGACGACCAGCCACACUGGGGCUGAGACACGGCCCAGACUCCUACGGGAGGCAGCAGUGGGGAAUCUUGCGCAAUGCGCGAAAGCGUGACGCAGCAACGCCGCGUGGGGGAAGAAGGCCUUCGGGUUGUAAACCCCUUUCAGGAGGGACGAAGCCAGGGCGGUGAAUAGCCGACCCUGGUGACGGUACCUCCACAAGAAG